UUGGUGUAUAUCCACGAAUUGCGAAACAUAUCCCGUUUGUGAAAGAAAACUACAUCCAUGUGCGAAAAUUGUGUGAAUCGCUACACCAGAAUAAAAAGCCACAAAUCUAGACUAGUGCAUGCCGUGCAGGUUAUUCACUUAUUCCAGGUCAUUACAAGAGAUUGGGUCAAAUGAAGGGGAAUGGCCAUAUCCUCGAGCUCACGUGGAAACAUACAUUUUUCCUUCAAGUUGGUGACCUUCAGAAUUAGGUUCCUCUACCCUAAACUUUGAUUCCUGGAAAGACCAGGAUGUGGAACGUGUUGGCGUGUAUAUAAGACGAUAUCCAGAUCCACAGUUCACAUUCAUCCAAGGAUCUUCCACAUCAACUGGACCGUUGAAAGCCGCCAUCGGACGCUUUGAUUGUCAGAGUAACACCAAAAGGACAAGGUUGACCGAGUUCUCGUUUUGCUGAAGGAACGCGUAGGCUAAAUAUUGCGAAGCAGGCUGCGUUAAGCGAACAACUGACUAGUGUAACGUGGCACUAAAUUUUGUAAUCAUUUAAAUUAUUGGCUGUUGAAAUAUUGCGUUGAUUACGUACCUCUGGUUGAGAUUCCUUCGAGAAGUGCUGCGUAGUUUUAGGUGCACCAUCUGCUGGAUGUUCCUGUCAUGCCGAAGACAAUCCAUUCCACAAAAACGCAUCUGAGCUUAAUGUAAGUUGAGGGGUCGGCUAAGAGCUUUAACCACAAUCUACCAGUGAAAAUGCAGUUGAAUGUUUGGGUUUCCAUUUAGUAAGUUGCCACACCUUCCGGAAAUACUCGAGCCCUUCAUACAAUGGGAUCCACUACAAGAAAUAGUACGUUGGAUCGUUCAAAUUGAUGUCUCUCUUCGUCUUCAUUUGCGGGAAAUGAAGUUGAUGACUUAAUGCAAACGAAUAAUUAAAUUAUUCAACACCUUUCAUCACAGAUUGUUUGUUGAAGGUAAUGGGAGUGAUUUGCCUAUCCUUUCCAUUCUGAGAAAAUAUCCAAGUGUCCAGUAUCACAAACUCGAAUGCAACACCAAUCAGUUCAAUCGCUGCAAGGGGCAAAUCACGCAAGAUCCCCUCGAAAGGACGUUUAAGGACAAUGAUCUUCAUUAAAGAACGUCUAAUUAAACGCCUUUUCUCUGCUAUCGCACGACAAACACGAUCUGUGUGGUGACAAGAAAGCUUUGAUUAGAAAAUAAAGACGAUAGCUGCAAGGAAUAUCAGCAGGUUUCCUUCCGGAGAAUCGAUCGUUUAACGAUAUACGGAAGACGUUAAACAUUUCCAGUGAGGACAUUGCGUGCAACUGUUGAAAGAAAAGAAGGCCCGUACGUAUAAAAGGAUGACUGUCUCCUACACUUUCAUUAAUUCGACGCGCAAAUCCGGUACGAGUCGAACUAAGCGGAUAAAAAUGCCGAUAUCGUUUCUUGUCGUUGUACUUGGAUUCGCACACUUUGCCUGCUCCUAGUUACCAGCUGCAGCAUGGAACUACCAUCCGUAUCAUUAUUCGUAUUCCUUGGUUCAUCCACAAGACAUGGGAGAAACUCGUCUAGAUACGUCACAACGAAUGGAACAAACGGCGAUAGCUCUUCAGACCAUGCAGAAGGAAUUGAAUGUUUUGGCAGAGACUUCGCAACAUUUGGCGAAAACAAUGUUCACCGUUUGGAUCUUGACGACAGCCAAAUUAGACGAGACUGCCCGAUGUUCAGCAGAAAUUUCGCAGCAGUUGGCAGAAACGAAUGACGUCACCUUGAAUUUAAGGAAAGCUCUGAACG